rfam:Zootermopsis nevadensis contig23397, whole genome shotgun sequence.
AAAUCGGUUUUGUUUAAAACCAUAUAAUUUAACAAAAUCCACUUUU